AUCAUUUUCUAAUAAAAUUUUAAAUCUGUUCUUAUCAGUUUAAUAUCUGAUGUCCUUUAUUUGAGGACUGUAUAUUAAAUUGAUUUUUGAAACAGGGGGCUGGAAUAGGAGCUUGCUCUGUCCAUCCUAUGCAUUGACCUGGCAUUGCAGUGCCUCCAGGACUGGUGCCUCUCCU
rnacentral:snRNA from 1 species